rnacentral:rRNA from 1 species
UACGUAGGGUGCGAGCGUUAAUCGGAAUUACUGGGCGUAAAGGGCGCGUAGGCGGCAUGGCAAGUCGGGCGUGAAAUCCCCGGGCUCAACCCGGGAACUGCGUCCGAUACUGGGAGGCUUGAAUCCGGGAGAGGGAUGUGGAAUUCCAGGUGUAGCGGUGAAAUGCGUAGAUAUCUGGAGGAACACCGGUGGCGAAGGCGGCAUCCUGGACCGGUAUUGACGCUGAGGCGCGAAAGCCAGGGGAGCAAACGGG